GUCACCACUAUUGCUGUAGCACAUGGAAAAGUCACUGCUUGUGUCAGUGAUAAUACUUUACUAGGCCAAGCAGGUAAGUAGGAGUAACCUGCAAGAUCUUGUCCACAGGUACUGUGUUUGCUGCCCCGAAAGUCCUCACCAUAGCACAUCCUCAUCCUAGAAACACAGCCACGGGGCCGCUCACAUUUUCGAAGUGUAAAUCAGGCUCAUAUCUUGGAGGCCACUGGUACAGUUAGAGCACGGCCUUUUUAAAUCAGCUCAGAAAGUGAAAACCAAAUAAUGAAUGAUCACAGAAUAUUAGCUUGGCAAAACUCCACCGCGAUGAUUUGUUUUCCAAAGUGCAGCUGAUUUACAGAUUUGAGGCCUCCAUUGGUGCUCUCUAAGUUUAAAGCGAGAUAUUUCAACAAAAAUUAUAGCCGAUGAGCAGUUCUGCUGAUACAAGAAAUGUUCUGCGGGUGACAGCAGCCGCUCGAGGUAUGUAAAGGAGCAGUAUACUCCAGCCGGUGCCGUUACAUCUCUGCACAAAGCAGCCAAGAGGCCUUGCUGGAUUUAUUGGUUUUCCAGCCCUGUAUCCUUUUGAUGGCCCUGCAGCCAUCCAGCCGCUCCCAUGAGUCAGGAGCGGGUUUCACCAGAUUCUUGUUGAUUCCCAUCUGCUCAGCACUGGUGAGGCCACACCUGGAGUGCUGGGUUCGGUUGUGGGUUCCCCAAUGCAAGAGACAUGGGCAUACUGAAGGGAGUCCAAUAAAGGGCCGUGAAAAUGGCACUGGGGCUGGAGCACCUUUCCUGUGAGGAGAGGCUGAGAGAGGUGGAGCUGUUCAGCCAGGAGAAGGCUCCAAGGAAUCUCACCAAUGCCUAUAAAUACCUGAAGGCAAGGAGCAAAAAGGAUGGGGCCGUGCACCUUCCAGUGGUGCCCAGAGCCAGCAGCAAUGAACACAGCUUGGAACACAAGAAGUUCCCACUGAACACCAGAAGCUCCUCCUUGGAGACCUUCAUAAGCCACCUGGACAUGGGCCUGGGCAUCCUGCUCUGGGUGGCCCACUUGGACCAACUUUUGUUGUUGCUGUUGUUCUCUAAAGCACAAUGCAAACUGAAUAAGGAUGAAUUGUGUUCACACUUAAACUCCUGUACUAUCAUUAAGCUACCUGGUUUAUGGAUGUGAUUAAGGGGAACAGUCUUUCAGAUGACAGGGCAUAGGAAAGCAAUGUGGAUGUUUACUAACAGCUUCCUCAGUUGUCCCCAAAGUGGGGGAAAGAGCUCACUGGACUUCUAAAGUUAGGAAGACAGAUGUAAGUCAUUCUUCCAGGUAUGAUGUGAAAGUCAAAAAGACUGAGCUCUUUCUGCAGUCAGGAUAAAAGAUCAUUUCUGGCACGUCUCAACUUAAGAGCUUAUAAAGCAGUGGAGUAGCAGAUGAUAUUUUGAGCUCUUAAUUUAUGUGGGUCUGUGGAAGAAGCUAAAAGAUUCUGUCUUAAUAUUCUCAUGACCAGAAAUACCAACAGUCAGUGAAGGUGGGAGAGGCUUUGAGGAGAGUUUCAGCAGAUCAGAAUUUGGAAGGAACCCACUCAGAAUACAGGGACAGUACUAUGCCAUGAGAGAGUCAAGUCAGAAAUGCACGUUUCAGCCUUAAGACUUAAAGACUUGAGAGUUCUGAAGAGGCAUCAUGAUGCAUUGUGCAACUCCGCCUGGACCUUUGCGCCACACCGAUUUUGGUGAUGUAAAAUCUCUGGCAUGUCGCUCAUUGUCUCCAAUUGAGUGACAGAGAGAGGAAAGACGGGUGUUGCAGACAGCCUCAUCCUGUAUCUGAUACCAUGACGUGCCACUGAAUCACCAGGAGACGAGAGCGCUUGGGGGCAGCUGGGAAACUGGGCUCUCACCUGCCCAGCUGGGCAAACAGCUCUGGGCCUGUGGCCCCCUCAGCACCUAUGAGGCCUUAUGGGCUUCAUAAGCUUUCUAAAGCUUUUUCUUAGUUAUUCUGUAAAAUGUCUUCAGUUUUUCUUCUCUUGCUUCGCUUUUUAGUCCUGGCCUCUUUCAUGCUACAGAUGUCUUGGUUGUAAGCUGCCUCCACGACUUGCUUUUUGUCACAAACAAGAGAGGAGAAAAGAAAGAAGAAAAAAGAAAAAAGAAAGAAGAAAAAAAGAAAGAAGAAAAAAGAAAGAAGAAAAAAGAAAUAUGAUAAGACAAAACGGCAAGAAACAAAGGGGGGGGGGAAGGGGGGAAGUGAUUUUCAAUGUAAAUUUUAUCAACAUGGGGAAGAUGGAAGAGCAGAAAUUUCUCCAAGACACAUUCCGAAAAUUCUUCUCAUUAUUUUCAUGUACAAAUUCUCAAAGUAGCUAUUUCAUUUUUUGCAAGCAGCCUCGCAAAUACUCGGUAGCUCCUGAGGGCACGUGAAACCCAAUUCACCCCUUAAAAUCCUCAGACAGACAGCACUCAGCAAUGCGAAGUAUGAGAUGAUUGCGUCUUAUAUUCACACAUUAUCAUGGUGUAAUUGAAACUUUAUCUGAAGGGGAGAGAGGGAAAACCACAGAGCUGAGUUCAUGUGGCUGUCAGUGAGAACUUUUAAUUGCCUUUAUGCCCAUAUUACAUUUUUUCAUUAAAACUUCUAGGGUAUGGUAAAGGGAAAGCUCAGCACUGCAGCGUUCCAUCCAGCGUGGUGUGGUGGUGGCAUGGAUAGGAGUUUGGGGUUAGGGUUUUUUUUUUUCUUUUUCUUCUUCUUUUUUUUUUUUUUUCUUUUUGCAAGUGCUUCAGAUUUUUCCAAUAGAUGUGGGCAAAGUUUUGUGUAAUUUUCCUGCGACCUUGAUUAUGCAACUGUGUGUGACUGCUGCCCCAGGUGACAUCAAAGAUGUCACUCUCCUUAUCAGGUCGAGGGCAGCCCCAGGAAGGCAAGGGACACCCUGAGGGCACCUGGCCAUGCCAGGGGCAGAUGGCCCUCCAUCCUGCUUUGAUUGAUGAGCUUGUCUUCGGGAAGCUCCCAUUGCUCCCACCCCGUUUUCUGAAGUGGUUACAGAGCUGGCAGGCAGAACACACACAAAGGCACCAUGAUGAUGACACUCAAGACCUUCAAGGUAUUUAUGUCCCCUUCCAACCCUGCAGUAUCAUGUGCUUACCUUCAAACAGGGUCCCAAACCCCACUGAAGUUAAAGGGUUAAAUCGGGCCCCCUUUGAAGUCAGCAGUGCAAACCUUCAUCCCAACAGGGCGGGUUCCUCCUCCUGGCGCUAAGUGCUUUGAUGAAUCAGCACUGAAGCACCCAAAUGAGGUGCAAAGGAACAUCCCCUCUUCCAGGUCCCUCCUGAACACCGCAGGCCCAGCCCUCAGGAGGGAUGACAGCUGUGGCCAUGCCCUGGUCAUUCCACACUCCUACAGCCCAUCACAACUAUCAGUGGGAAACCCCAUGUGUUUUAAGUCCCCGCUCCUGCCCACAGCCUGGCUGCAGUUGCUCAGCUAAGGGCAAUGACCCUGCAGAGGCCAUCAGGAGAAGGAAGCAGGAAUGGCCUCUCUUUGCCAUGGGAGUCACUGGUCUUGCCCAACAGACCUGCCAGCCUCACUGGCAGCGCUGGGCUACGAGAUCAGAAGAAACCAACUGCAUACAAGAAGUGCAAAAAUGCUGCAAACGUUCCAAAAAAAAAAAAAACCCCUCCCAUCACAUCCAGACUCUCCUUAAAACAUUGCCAUAAUUCAAACAUCCACACACCAAAAAAAAAAAAGACGAAAGCUGCCUACAGAUUCAGGUUCAGAUGGUUCAGUGUUGGAUGUUGUUAUGUUAGGACCUGGAAAACUAAUCCAUGAGAGAGGCUUCUACCCAUUCCUCUUUGAAUAUUUCUCUCCACCUUUUGGUCACUUUUCCUCAGUUUCUCUUCUCCCUGAAAGCCUGGGAUGGAGCUUUGGGCAGCCAGGUGGGCUCCCCAGCACCUGGAGUGGGGAGGCAGAGAGGAAUAGAAAUCCUCCCUGGUUUUCAGAAUUACUUUGCAUCGUGUUUUCUGCUGUAUCAGGUAAGCAUUUAGGGAUCACAAGUCCUUUUGAAAAUGCUUUUUUUUCUCUCUCUUUUUCUUUUUCUUUUUUUCUUUUUCUUUUUCUUUUCCUUUUUCUUUCUUUCUUUCUUUCUUUCUUUCUUUCUUUCUUUCUUUCUUUCUUUCUUUCUUUAAGCAGAAAAUUGAGUGAAAAAUAAGAAGUAGGAAAAAGAAAAGAUAAGCUCUGGUCAAUCAAGCCCCAGCUUUCUUGUCUCCAGUUUGUGAUAUGUUUUAUGAUCUCAGACACAACAGACUGUGAGCCUGCAAUGUUUGGAAAUGGUAGAUGAUUAAACCUCUGGCCAGGUGUAAAUGCAACCUUUGUCUUCUGCUCACUGUGUGAGAAUCACCUUCCUUCUCAAAGUCCCGGGCUGGCCCUGCUCUCAUCACUGUUACAAACAUCCCCUGCUUGGAUCCACAACCACCGUGCGCUUCCUCCUUGUUUCUGAUCUGUGAAUGCACCUAUGUGAUCUGUACCACUCAAAUUGUUCUGAAUCACAGAAAAGAAAAAGAAAAAAAGAAAGAAAAUGUUGGGCAAGCUACUAAAAUUUGCAAGAAUGUGGCCUGUGAGUUUUUCUACUUCUUCUCCUGGGGGGAUUUUGUACCAGGUAAAUAAUAAAAAAUGUCUAAUGAUUGACUAGGCUUUUAAACCUGAGCUGAAGGUAAGUUUGCCUUGCUGUUCCAGUUAAAUAUUCUCACUAGCCCCCUUCUCUUUCUCCGUUUUAUCAUGCCACAAAAUCCCCUUCAGCCUGAUUCAUUCUUUAUUCUUCAGAAAUUUGGGUAACAGUCAAAUCUGACCUUUAGAGCCAUAAACAAAUUAAAUUGUUUCACAACCAAAUAAUACGAAACAAUAUUGAAUAGCUCGGCUUCCGCCGAGUUUCCUCUUAAAGAGAAAGAAGCCCCAAAAGGGCGCAACACCAAGAAAUGGGAGAUAGAGUGAUGGGGCAUGAAUUGCGUUGAUGCAGCGAUGAAGUGGUGAAACACUGGGGUGAGAGACACCAGCACUUGGGAGGAUGAUAUGCUGAAUUAUUGAGUCCUUUGGGAGCAGGUUGCUCCCCAGGGCACGCCCCACUGCAGAGCAACUCAAGCUGAAACCCAACGAUGGACUCUCAAUGCACUCUCAGAGCUGCCAGGCUGGAAAACACUCCUCCUCUCCCUUCUGUUUGCCUGAACUUUGCUGUUCCCUGCACAGGAGGCACCCAACGCGUGGUCCAGCUGACACAGGUGAGGGGCAGGGCUGUGUCACCUGCUAUUGACUCCAUGGGACAUCUUUGGCAACGACGCUGCUCCUGUCCACUGUGUCUGGGAUGGAGCCUACCAGCAACUGCUGGCCCUGGGGACAGUGAGAUGCUGUAGUCUUUGUGCUGUAGGGUUCAGCACAUCUGUGGCACAUCACUGGAAUGUAAAGCAUCUGGGGCAGAUGUAGAGGCUCGAUAAGGCUCCUUGCCAUCCUUAAAAACACUGUGAAGUGCCAGGCUGGGAUUCCCCUGGCAGCGGGGGAUUCCUUGCCUGGCACUCAUCUAAUCCCAAGUAGGAGGCACUGAGACAUCAGGAGCAGCCCAGCCUCAGGCCCCAGGAGAUGCCCUGUGGUGUGAUGCUGGCCUGUCCAUGCAGCCCUACCAGAGAUAUUCCUGCUCCCUGCCAGCCCCAGCCUGGGAGAUAUUCACUGUCCCCAGAGAGCACAGCAAGGGGCAGCUGAAGGAGGGAGGAGUAGGCACAGGUUGGCAUCAGGGCACACACUGUUUCUGUGCUACCUGUGUUCCAGUUGUGUUCACAUCACAUAACAGGAUCUAAGGCUGUCAUUAACUCUUCCUUUACUUGCUGCAUACACACAAGUGACAUUAUGUUUAUCUGAGACAUAGGGACAGUGCACAUUGCUGCUGCUUGUCACCUAGGCUAAACACUAAGAUACAUAUGUGCUGAUAGUCACUGUUGUUACAGUCACUGAUAGGAAAAGCCUUUAAUGAUACACAACUCUGUACAGCUACACAGCCACAGCAGACAGGCAUGAAGCACAUUUGGCUGCCUUAAUUAACCUUAAGAAUUAUGAAGCCGAACCUGUAACUGAAAUACAGUUUUGCCUUUUAUAAACUAUUUGACACGAGAAUUAUGAGGCCAAGAAUUAGAUGUAGGAACACAUCUAAAUAUUUAUGCUAUGUUCAUUACUUUGGUAUCUGAGUGCAUGUUUACACUGUAACCUCCACUCCAACAUCCAUUAUUUCACUUGGCCAUAAAACCCCGUGUUACCCAUCACACUGUGCCACUGCUCUCCUUGCCAGAAUAGGGAAACACAGAAUCAUAGAAACAUAGAAUCAUAGGAAUAUAGAAUCAUAGAAACAUAGAAUCAUGGAAUCACUAACACUGGAAAAGACCUCUGCGAUCAUCUAUCUAGUCUAACCAUCAGCCCAUCCCCACCGUGCCCACUGACCACGUCCCUCAGUGCCACAUUUCCUUUCCCUGAACAUCUCCAGGGAUGGUGACUCCAUCACCUCCCUGGGCAGCCUGUUGCAAUGCCUCACCACAUUUUUGGAGAAGAAUUUUGUUCCUGAUAUCCAGCUUGAACCUCCCCCAGGUUCAGAUCAAGAUCAUCUUAAGUCUUUUCCAACUUUAUGAUUCUGUGUUUCUAUGAUGAAUGUCAGUGGGUACCGUUUUUUUUCCACACGAAGGAACUCAGUGACACUCCAUUGCUUCAUACACAUUUCAGUGUCAGAUGCCAUUCUGUCAGACUGCCCCUCUGCUGCCAUCUGUCACAUGGCAACAACAGGUAACAGGAUGUUGAUGGGAAGGUUCAGCCUCUACUGCCAUACCACCAACAUCCGCCUCUGAUGUCAUGUGCCAACAUUACAAAACAGGAGGCAUUACUUUGGGAACAGCCCUCCUAUUUCUCACAUGCUCAGUAUAAAACUUGCUGCAACUUCUCCUUGCUUUGAAACCAGGAUACUGGGUUCAGCAGGUUUCUGCCCUAGACCAGAUGGCAGCACCUUGGUUACACAGCCCCUGUGGGCUGCACCUGCUCACUUCAUAUUGCAAAGUCCUCUGACAAGGAGCUCCAGCCCCAGCACUUCAUCAUGGCAAGAAAGCAGGGCAGCAGUCAUCAAAACACUAAAAGAAACUGAGGUUAAGUGUACUAAAUAUUUCACCAUUAACAAAGCCAACAUGAUGUAUUUUUGCUGAGGAUUGGGGGAGGGAGAGAACUCUCAGCAAUGGCGCUUAGAUGCAAAUCUGUGAAAGUGGCUUUGAAUAACACUGUAGAAGUCUUCUGACUAAAUGAAAUAGACACGUGUACUGAUAUGUAAUUAAUCUUUUCAUUUGAAAUACGUUAUUCAAUGAAGCACUUGAAAU
ensembl:lncRNA